AUUUUCACAGAAACGUGGGACUUGUAUGGAAGUUGAUUUCAAGACUAGAAAAUAGUGACCAGAAGAAAGGUCAACCAGAUAACAAUCUUGGGCAUCUUGAUUUUUUCUUUCUUUUUACAGUGUUUGUCCACUCAGCGAGAUUUAUAUACAGAGGAAAAACCAAAGCUACAAUAACCCUUUUAUCUUCAAAAUUAUUGUACAUCCUACUCAUUAGAGAAUUAGAUUAGCUACUACAAAAUAGAAGAAAAGCCCUGGAUACAUUUUCAACCCCUGCACAAACUGCCUCUGAGAAAUUUCAUUCUGAUUUCCCGUCCCAUCCCCAGGACUGUUUAAGUUUCUUCAGCAACAAAAUUGUCAAUCCUAGAAAUGGCCAUGCCAUAGAAAAAUCUACACCAAAACCCAAAGAGAAUAAAAUAUACCUUCCAAGUAUUUUGAAGAUCUAUGCUACCAGCAGAAAAGAAUUUGGUCACGUUGCCCCUGAAGUUGCAGUAACUCCACUUCCAUCUCUCAACCCCUGGAGGCAUAAAUUUAGUGUUCUUUGCACACUAUCUGCAACCAUUCUCAACCUUCCUUGGGUAAAAUCAGCGGAACAUCCAUUUAUUUCCACAGUUCGAAUCACCUCCUGUUUACAUUUUUCCCAAUCAUCAACACGCAACCAGCAAGCUUGGCCUCCAUGGCUUCCUUCCAUGCCAAGGAAUGUUACGUUAGUGUUUUCACCAAAUGAAUAUCUCAACCUCACUGAGACACAAUAGGGCAACCAAGCAGCACCACCAGCAGCAUUAACAUGAGGUAUAUGAGCAGGAUCAAGAACAACAGUAAGUGCAAAAUCAACAGAACUAUGGGGCCGAUCAUAAUGAAUAUUGCUAAAAGCUGCAGAUGAAUUCUCAGAGUUGUCAUUCUCAUUUAACCCAGCAUGAUUUUCAAGGCAUAAUUCAAUACGAGGCUUCUGUCCAGGAGCUGUUUCUCCACCUUGCACCUGAGUUGAUCCUUUCUUCCAUGCAAUCAAUUUUAGAAAUUCUCUCAAUACUGAUAUUGGCAAGGUGAGAAGAGUGAUGAAUGAUGCAACACGAGAUGCAUCAUAGGGUUCUGAUGCUACACGGCGACUGAAAUAAUCACACAUCUCUCCUAUUUCAGAUUGAGUUAGUUCUUCUUGAGAAGUCACAGAGUUCUGUUGCUGUUGUUGCUGCUGUU
rnacentral:misc_RNA from 1 species